AUUUUGGACAAUGGGGGAAACCCUGAUCCAGCCCUCCCGCGUGUAUGAUGAAGGCCUUAGGGUUGUAAAGUACUUUUGGCAGAGAAGAAAAGGUAUCUCCUAAUACGAGAUACUGCUGACGGUAUCUGCAGAAUAAGGACCGGCUACCUACGUGCCAGCAGCCGAGGUAAUACGUAGGGAGCAAGCGUUAAUCGGAAUUACCGUGCGUAAAGCGUGUGUAGGCUGUUCGGAAAGAAAGAUGUGAAAUCCCAGGGCACAACCUUGGAACUGCAUUUUUAACUGCCGAGCUAGAGUAUGUCAGAGGGGGGUAGAAUUCCACGUGUAGCAGUGAAAUGCGUAGAUAUGUGGAGGAAUACCGAUGGCGAAGGCAGCCCCCUGGGAUAAUACUGACGCUCAGACACGAAAGCGUGGGGAGCAAACAGG
rnacentral:rRNA from 1 species